UAGCAUUAGCAUAUUAGCUAGCUAACAGUCGUCGAUGCAUUUCUGACUGAAAUAGUUUGCAAUGCCUACGUUCAAAUUACAGCCCCGCGAAGGACGUGCUAAUGAACAUUGUUCAGUGCCUCUGUGUUCAGGUUCUUCAAAAUGUAAUGGUGUUGUGAGCUUCCGUAGUUUCCAAGUCGAUGUAGAGCUCAGGAAGCGGUGGUUGGUGGCAGAACGUCGUGACUACUUUACUGUCACCAAAUGCGCAAAGUUGUGUAGUACACAUUUCGUCAAGAGUGACUUUGUUGAGGGAAAAAUUGUGGGGCGACAAUACCUAAAAAGAGGUGUUGUUCCUACAGUCUUCGAGUGGAACUGGCACAUUCAAAAGAGACCUGGUGUUUGGGAAAGAAGACUGAAACCUCCUGCCCGGACUGAGGGGGAUGAAGAACAAGGUGCGCUGCCUGUGGACUGUGCCGUCUCUUGAUCUGGUCCAGACAUAUGAUUACUGUGCAGUCCCCGAACAUGGCCCUAAUGGCAAACCAUGAGCACAUAAGAGAAAUUGAGGAGCUUCGAGCCAAGAUGGAGAAACUGACGGCACAACACGGCUUUGGUCUACAGCGAUUUGCUGGUUCUGACGAGGAUAUACGUUUUUACACAAGGUUCAGACCCUGCCAUCAAUCGACUAGUUCUUCUUGUUUAUUACUCAUCUGUCGCUGGGUCUGAAGCAGAAGGAUUUGGCCCAUCGGUUCAGGAUCCAGCAAUCGACAGUGAUACAGAUUAUCAUCGCUUGAGCCAUCUUCCUCUACUUUCUGCUUGGUUCAGCACAGAUUUUUUUUAUUUUUCCUUUAUUUAACUAGGCAAGUCAGUUAAGAACAAAUUCUUAUUUUCAAUGACUGCCUAGGAACAGUGGGUUAACUGCCUGUUCAGGGGCAGAACGACAGAUUGGUACCUUGUCAGCACGGGGGGUUUGAACUUGCAACCUUUCGGUAACUAGUCCAACACUCUAACCACUAGGCUACCCUGCCGCCCCAAUAUGGAUAUGAAUCCCCAAGGAAAUAUCAACGUGCAGCUGCCACCUGAGUCCAAGGACUACAUGGAAAGAAUGAAAAACUGAGCAAACUAGAAUGCUAUUUGGCCCUAAACAGAGAAACACUGGCAGAAUACCUGACCACUGUGACUGACCCAAAAUUAAGUAAAGCUUUGACUAUGUACAGACUCAGUGAGCAAAGUCUUGCUAUUGAGAAAGGCUGCCAUGGGCAGACCUGGCUCUCAAGAGAAAGACUAUGUGCCCACAAAAUGAGGUGGAAACUGAGCUGCACUUCCUAACCUCCUGCCAAAUGUAUGGCUAUAUUAGAGACACAUAAUUAUUUCCCUCAGAUUACACAGACCCACAAAGAACUUGAAAACAAAUACAAUUUUGAUAAACUCUCAUAUCUAUUGGGUGAAAUACCACAGUGUGCAAUCACAGAAGCAAGAUUUGUGACCCGUUGCCACAAGAAUAGGGCAACCAGUGAAGAAAAAACACAAUUUUAAAUACAACCCCUAUUUAUGUUUAUUUACCCUUUUUUACUUUAAAUAUAACAUAUGUUUCCCAUGCCAAUAAGGCCCCUUAUAUUGAAAUGUAAUUAAAUGAAAUUGGAGAGAGAGAGAGAGAAAUGACCCUCAUCUGUGUGUAUAUGCCUGUUUGUGUGUGUGUGUGUCCAAAUCAAAUCAUAUUUAUUGGUCACAUACACAUGGUUAGCAGAUGUUAAUGCAAGUGUAGAGAAAUGCUUGUGCUUCUAGUUCUGACCGUGCAGUUACAUCUAACAAGUAAUCUAACAAUUUCACAACAACUACCUUAUUCACACAAGUGUAAAGGAAUGAAUAAGAAUAUGUACAUAAAAAUAUAUGGACGAGCGAUGGCCGUGCGGAAUAGGUAAGAUGCAGUAGAUGGUAUAGACUACAGUAUAUACAUAUGAGAUGAGUAAUGUAGGGUAUGUAAACAUUAUAUAAAGUGGCAUUAUUUAAAGUGACUAGUGAUAUAUUUAUUACAUCCAUUUUUUAAAUUAUUAAUGUGGCUAGAGAUUUGAGUCAGUACGUUGGCAGCAGCCACUCAAUGUUAGUGAUGGCUGUUUAACAGUCUGAUGACCUUGAGAUAGAAGCUAUUUUUCAGUCUCUCCAGCUUUGACGCAUCUGUACUGACCUCGCCUUCUGGAUGAUAGCAGGGUGAACAGGCAGUGGCUCGGGUGGUUGUUGUCCUUGAUAUCUUUGGCCUUCCUGUGACAUCGGGUGGCGUAGGUGUCCUGGAGGGCAUGCGUUGUGCAGGCCUCACUACCUUCUGGAGAGCCUUACAGCAGUUGCCGUACCAGGCGGUGAUACAGCCCGACAGGACGCUCUCGAUUGUGCAUCUGUAAAAGUUUGUGUGUUUUCGGUGACAAGCCAAAGUUCUUCAGCCUCCUGAGGAUGAAGAGCUGUUGCGCCUUCUUCACCACGCUGUCUGUGUGUUUGGACCAUUUCAGUUUGUCCGUGAUGUGUACACCGAGGAACUAAAAACUUUCCACCUUCUCCACUACUGUCCCAUUGAUGUGGAUAGGGGGGUGCUUCCUCUGCUGUUUCCUGAAGUCCAAGAUCAUCUCCUUUGUUUUGUUGACGUUGAGUGUGAGGUUAUUUUCCUGACACCACACUCUGAGGGCCCUCACCUCCUCCAUGUAGGCCAUCUCGUUGUUGUUGGUAAUUGUUACGAAUCCCUUUUGGCCCGACAGUCUAGGGGGGAUGGUAAUGAGACCCGUAACAUAACUCAUGCAAAUUAUUAUGGUGACAAAGUAAAAGUGUGCACGAAAUAACCACGACAACAGAAAUCUACCGUCAAACUCUAGGUUUAUUUAUAAACACACGGUAAUGGGGGGAGCAGGAAAAGGGGCUGAGCUGGACCCAAGGAAAGAAACAAUAAGUAUUCAAAAACACCCCUAAGCUAGACUAGCCUACUUUAACAACAGCUAACUAACUAACCAAAAAUACAGUGGGUGGUCCGCCCAGUUCUAACUAGUGUAUUUAACAAAGUUCACCUACGGGUAGUGUAUGCCCAUGGGCGACUUGUCUUGGUUUCCCCUUUUCCCACCAGCAACAAACAAACACCAUAACCAAAAACAAUACUCACAGGUGAUGACAAAGUGCUAUGAGGUGCUUAAACAAAAGAGAGGUUAAGACACAAAGCGAGAGUGAAACACAGAGACCUACAGACAUGGCAUUUACAGAGAGAUUGCUAGAGAUUGAGCUAGAGCAAACAAAUGAUGGGGUUUUUAAACCAUGGGGAAGGAACUGUGAUAGGGUAGGAAAUAGGAGGAGGUGUGUCUUCUGAUUGAUGAUUGAUUGUUGACUGAUUGGGGAGUGAUGGUUUUCACCUGUGAGGGGAGAAGGAGAGAAAAGAAACACACACAGGAUACACACACACACAGGAUAACUGUAUCCGUAACAGUAAUCAAGCCUACCGCUAUAGUGUCGUCUGCAAACUUGAUGAUUGAGUUGGAGGCGUGCAUGGUCACGCAGUCAUGGGUGAACAGGGAGUACAGGAGAGGGCUGAGAACGCACCCUUGAGGGGACCCAGUGUUGAGGAUCAGCGGGGUGGAGAUGUUGUUUCCUACCCUCACCACCUGGGUGCGGCCCGUCAGAAAGUCCAGGACCCAGUUGCACAGCUUAAUGAUGAGUUUGGAAGGUACUAUGGUGUUAAAUGCUGAGCUGUAAUCGAUGAACAGCAUUCUUGCAUAGCUAUUCCUCUUGUCCAGAUGGGUUAGGGCAGUGUGAUUUCGAUUGCGUCAUCUGUGGACCUAUUGGGGCGGUAAGCAAAUUGGAGUGAGUCUAGGGUGUCAGGUAGGGUGGAGGUGAUAUGAUCCUUGACUAGUCUCUCAAAGCACUUCACGAUGACAGAAGUGAGUGCUACGAGGCGAUAGUUGUUAAGCUCAGUUACCUUAACUUUCUUGGGAACAGGAACAAUGGUGGCCCUCUUGAAGCAUGUGGGAACAGCAGACUGGGAUAGGGAUUGAUUGAAUAUGUCCGUAAACACACCAGCCAGCUGGUCUGCGCAUGCUCUAGGGAUGCCGUCUGGGCCAGCAGCCUUGCUGGCCCAUCGUUUAAAUGUUUUACUGAUGUUGGCUACAGUGAAGGAGAGCCCACAGGUUUUGGUAGCAGGCCGUGUCAGUGGCACUGUAUUGUCCUCAAAGCGAGCAAAGAAGUUGUUUAGUUUGUCUGUGAGCAAGACGUCGGUGUCUGUGACGGGACUGGUUUUCUUUUUGUAAUCUGUGAUUGACUGUAGACCCUGCCACAUAUGUAUCUUGUCUGAGAGAGAGUAAUAGGAUACGGCAUGUGUCAAAAUUGAUUGAUUGCUGACCUGAUGACCUGUACAGAAUAUGUGCCCCCGCCCCCCCCACCUGUUCGUGUGGUCAUGUGUUAGAGGGUGUUUGAACUUUUGGGGCCCAUGCCCCCCCUCCACCCCCCAGUUUUAUCUCCCUUAUGGUUGUUAUCUAUGAAGCAGGAAUGUCUGGGGCUAUAGAUAGCGCUGGGGCCUCAGCAUUAUAAAUGUCCAGAACAAGCCAUUUUUUAAGACCUGAAUAUUAAGCAUCUAAAAAUAUGUCUACAAGGGGAAUUCUCGGAGUGCUCUGUAGCUCAUGUCACGAACCCAACGCCAAAAGCUUGGAGGAUAUUUUGGUAGAGGCUCCCGAAUGUUUUAACGGAUUUCUGUGUACAAGCGAGGGCCAUAUUUCGUACAUAUUCAACCCGGAGGAAUCUACGGUUAAGAUAUUCACAGACAGCGUGUCCCAACCCUUUUAUCGUGCAGAACCCGAGCCUUUUUCUCUAGUGCUAAGGAUGCGAGAAUGGCUUAAAAUAAGGCUAGCUUUGUGUCAAAUGGAACGUGCCCUGAGUGCUUCAAGGCUGCCAGGAUAUGCGUUGGAAGAACAAGUCUGUGGACGUCAGGAUCUAAUGGCCCUGAGAGUCACAUCCAUGGGUUAUACCCCGGACUCCAGAGUGACAAUUUUAGCAUGUGAAUAAUUUGACAGGUCAAAUGCUACGAAAACGGUCAGUCCAUAUGUAUCCUCCAAAGCAUGCAAGGAUGUAACAUUUUUUCAAAUAAUGUUCAGUUUUAAAUGGCGCGAUUACCACAUUUUCCGAACCCUGAUGAAUAAGCUGGACAGUCUUUUCGAAAAUCGUGAACAAUUACGGCGAUGGCCUAGGUUAUCGUUGAGACAUACCCCGGAACAACAUAGGUUAUCGUUGAGACAUACACCGGAACAACAAGUUCGAAGGCGGAUCUUUCCCUGGCAGGAAAGUGGACAGAGCUUCGACGGAGCGCGCGGAAAAUACUUUGUGAUGGGGAAUUGGAAACGGAUAAUGUUCAGGGCUAACAGGACCCCAUAUAUCUGUAAGAAAUAGUUAAAAUAAAUGUUGAAUUAUAACGUGUGUUAAAAUGUAGGUGUUAAUUUUUGAAAAUGUAUACCCCCCCCAUUUAACUAAGGGGUAGCGCUCUUUUCUCUCAAGCUAGGGUCUGGCGCAGACAACUGUAAGAUCUGAAAAAAAACAUGUAUUAUUUUAUAGUCUAUUCCUACAUUGGGUAUGUUAUGAACAUUACGUUUUAUUAAAGUUUGUAAUAAUGUACAAAGA